GCGCCGUUAGUCUAGCGGUAGGAUGUUGGCCUUCCAAGCCAAUGACCCGGGUUCGAAUCCCGGACGGCGCA
rnacentral:tRNA from 1 species